rnacentral:rRNA from 1 species
GGGGGCCCGCAAGCGGUGGAGCAUGUGGUUUAAUUCGACGCAACGCGAAGAACCUUACCUGGGCUCGAAAUGUAGUGGACCGCGGUAGAAAUAUCGCUUCCCCGCAAGGGGCCGCUAUAUAGGUGCUGCAUGGCUGUCGUCAGCUCGUGUCGUGAGAUGUUGGGUUAAGUCCCGCAACGAGCGCAACCCUUACCUCCAGUUGCUACCAUUUAGUUGAGCACUCUGGCAGAACCGCCUCGGAUAACGGGGAGGAAGGUGGGGAUGACGUCAAGUCCUCAUGGCCUUUAUGUCCAGGGCUACACACGUGCUACAAUGGCCGGUACAAACCGUCGCAAACCCGUGAGGGGGAGCUAAUCGGAAAAAGCCGUCCUCAGUUCGGAUUACAGUCUGCAACUCGACUGUAUGAAGCUGGAAUCGCUAGUAAUCGCGGAUCAGAAUGCCGCGGUGAAUACGUUCCCGGGCCUUGUACACACC